rnacentral:tRNA from 2 species
GCGAGCGUGGCGGAAUAGGUAGACGCACUGGACUUAAAAUCCAGUGACCAUAUUGGUCGUGGGGGUUCAAGUCCCCCCGCUCGUACCA